UACGGAGGGGGCGAGCGUUGUUCGGAAUUAUUGGGCGUAAAGCGCUUGUAGGCGGCCUGUCAAGUCGCGUGUGAAAUCCCCUGGCUUAACCAGGGAAGUGCGCGCGAAACUGAAGGGCUUGAGUGCCGGAGAGGGUCGCGGAAUUCCAGGUGGAGCGGUGAAAUGCGUAGAGAUCUGGAAGAACACCAAAGGCGAAGGCAGCGUCCUGGCAAGUCACUGACGCUCAGGUGCGAAAGCUAGGGGAGCGAACGGGG
rnacentral:rRNA from 1 species